GAUGAACGCUGGCGGCGUGCCUAAUACAUGCAAGUCGAGCGAACAGACGAGGAGCUUGCUCCUUCGACGUUAGCGGCGGACGGGUGAGUAACACGUAGGUAACCUACCUAUAAGACUGGGAUAACUUCGGGAAACCGGAGCUAAUACCGGAUAAUAUUUCGAACCGCAUGGUUCGAUAGUGAAAGAUGGCUUUGCUAUCACUUAUAGAUGGACCUGCGCCGUAUUAGCUAGUUGGUAAGGUAACGGCUUACCAAGGCAACGAUUCGUAGCCGACCUGAGAGGGUGAUCGGCCACACUGGAACUGAGACACGGUCCAUACUCCUACGGGAGGCAGCAGUAGGGAAUCUUACGCAAUGGGCGAAAGCAUGACGGAGCAACGCCGCGCGAGUGAUGAAGGUCUUCGGAUCGUAAAACUGUGUUAUUAGGGAAGAACAAACGUGUAAGUAACUGUGCACGGCUUGACGGUACCUAAUCAGAAAGCCACGGCUAACUACGUG
rnacentral:rRNA from 1 species